GACGAACGCUGGCGGCGUGCUUAACACAUGCAAGUCGAACGGAAAGGCCCUGCUUUUGUGGGGUGCUCGAGUGGCGAACGGGUGAGUAACACGUGAGUAACCUGCCCUUGACUUUGGGAUAACUUCAGGAAACUGGGGCUAAUACCGGAUAGGAGCUCCUGCUGCAUGGUGGGGGUUGGAAAGUUUCGGCGGUUGGGGAUGGACUCGCGGCUUAUCAGCUUGUUGGUGGGGUAGUGGAUGACCAAGGCUUUGACGGGUAGCCGGCCUGAGAGGGUGACCGGCCACAUGGGGACUGAGAUACGGACCAGACUCCUACGGGAGGCAGCAGUGGGGAAUAUUGCACAAUGGGCGGAAGCCUGAUGCAGCAACGCCGCGUGCGGGAUGACGGCCUUCGGGUUGUAAACCGCUUUCGCCUGUGACGAAGCGUGAGUGACGGUAAUGGGUAAAGAAGCACCGGCUAACUACGUG
rnacentral:rRNA from 1 species